GACAACGUGGCCGAGCGGUUAAGGCGACAGACUUGAAAUCUGUUCCACUUUGUGGUCGCAGGUUCAAGUCCUGCCGUUGUCG